rnacentral:lncRNA from 1 species
GGCCAUAUAAGUUCUAUAUUUACUUACAGGCCACUCAUGAUUCAGCUUUUUUUUUUUUUUUUUUUUGAAUAUUUUGUUUUUGAACUUUCACUCAUAAAAAUUUGAAAAUAACAACUAAUUGAAGACAGAUGUCUCUUGAUUAUUGGUUACUGUGUAAUCAAUGCCACAUCAGCCUAAGUUGUUAUAAUGUUUGUUAGGUGGUUAAAUGAUUUGUUAGUUGGUUAAUUAGUUACUUGUGGUUAAGUAAGCUUGUAUUGUUUAGUAUAUAAUGCACUUCCACUUACAAAUGUAGUCAGUUGUCAUUUUCCUCAAAUAUAUAAAACUUUCUCUCUCUCUCUAAACUCUCUGUGUUCUUCCUUUUACUCAUCAUUUCUUCUUGAUUUUCCCUUCAAUUCUCAAACACUACAAUGUAGUUAACAUGGUAUCAGAGCCACCAGGCUCACGCCAUGGAUUCUGGUGGUUCCACUUCCCAUUAUUUUACAUAUGUUUCCAGCUUAGUUUCUUUUCCAAAUUUUCAUUAGGUGUUAGGAUAAGUUUCUGGGUGCUUCCGUGAUCAUUCUUUUAGGUUGAUUUGUUUUUGGGUUGAUUUCUUUCCGAUCAAAUUCAUGAGUCUCCUCGUGCCCGAUUGAAAGCGAGAGAUCGAAAGUUGGAGAACCGAGGCAAAGUUCUCGGCUUGUUCGACUUCGGAGAAAUGGCGGCUUCACCGAUUCCAAUCCCAUAUGAGCUGAUGGUUGCGCUUGCUGAUGGCAGCGACGAGCAUCACGGCUUGAUUGCGUAUUGGGAAUGGGACAAUGAAUUCUUGGAUCUCUACUAUGUUCUUUGGUAUGGAAGAAAGGCCAGACAUGGAUGCAGUCCACGUGUUUGACGAAUUGCUCUGCUUAGAAUUUUUCAUGUGAAGAUUGAUGCAAAGUUUGUUUCAAAUCGGAGUUUUUCGAGAUAGUGGUGUUUGUUUCAAAGUUUGUUGCAAAGAUUGAUUGCGUAUUGGGUAGCCUCAACGCCAUGGUCAACUUCUGGGUUCGAGACUGGCAGAAGAUGAGAAAGACGCUAAAUGCCAUGUCGUAUCUCCAUGGUCACAGACGCUUCCACGGCGACAUCAAGCUCGGAAACAUCUUGGUUGACUCUGAUGGGUCUAAGAUCGUCGAUUUCGGGGUUCAGGUUGUUUUCUGUAUCUUUAAUCCUUUUCUGCGUAUAUGGUGUUUGUGAAAAUGUCUUAGACAUAUAUUGUGGGAUUUUAUGCAUGAUUACGUGUGAAGGCCGAUGUCAUAUGUUGAAAGAUGAUGAAAUAUGAGUUCUUGUUAAUUGAAUGAUAAGGCCGAUGCCAAUGGAUUGAUGUUCUGAAGAUUCCAGUGUUGAAUAUUGUUAAUCUUGAAGUUGAAAUUGUUCAUCAAGAUGUCUGAUAAGUUUGUAAGAAUUGAAAGUUGGAUUUUAAUUGCUUGAAGAACUGUGUGAUUGGAUUCUUUGAUUGUCUUCUGUUCUCUGCUAUGAAAGAAAGAUUAGACCUAUGCGCAAUUCAUGUGUCUAUCGAAAUGCCCAGCUCAACAUUUUCAUGUGAAGGUGCUUAUUGAGGAGUUUGUGCAGUAUGUUUCCCUUAUCUUAGCCUAUAAUUUCAGAGUCUAACCAACUCAGUUGUUAGCAUGAAUCUACAGUAAGUCCGGUUACACGAAGGGUACAAGAAGUUGUUAACGGUAAAUCCCACGAAGGGUAAUCCCGUGUUUUGAGUAGGUAAAUCCCACGAAGGGUAAUCCUACAUAAAUGUUGAUUUUUCAGUUGUUGAAAUUGUGAAGGCCAAUGUCAUUGUUCAAAGAAGUUGUUUUUGGUAAAAUCCACAAAGGGCGAUCCUGUGGUGCUAUAGUUAAGGCCGAUGCCACACUAUAGUUUGUUAAUUUUCUGUUUUUGUAAAUAUUAAAGGCCGAAGCCAAGUUGAAUGAGAUUGUUGACGGUGAAUCCCACGAAGGGUAAUCCCGUACGAAGUUGUUAUACCGGCAUGAGGGUGUGCUACAACUACUUUAUAGAAGGUUGUUCUUAUGUAAAACUCCUGAUAGAGGCAGAGGCAUACAGGGUGUCUUUAUUUGUAAGGCAGUGGAAGAAAUUUGGAUUGACAGACAGAGGUUUUUGGUCAACAGCUACAAAGAGGUUAUGGGGUACACUUGUGUGUGUUAUGUUAUGAUCAGGCCGUUUGCUGCUACUCCACUGUGGUUGUCUGAUUAAAACAAAAGGAUAAUGAGCAAACAUUAGUGCCAAAAACUUUGAUACAUGAUUGGCAGGCAUAGCAGAUGAGCCAUAUGCUGGACCUGGUGCAAGGCAGGCCAGUUUGGAGAUUGCAAAGAUCAAUAAGAAGCAGAUGUCUCAACUUGCAGGACUCAACAGUUUAUCUCAUGCUCACAUUGCUGCAAUCUCAGGCUUGGUAACCUAGCUGAGAUUGAGGGGGGAUGAAGACAGAUGUCUCUUGAUUAUUGGUUACUGUGUAAUCAAUGCCACAUCAGCCUAAGUUGUUAUAAUGUUUGUUAGGUGGUUAAAUGAUUUGUUAGUUGGUUAAUUAGUUACUUGUGGUUAAGUAAGCUUGUAUUGUUUAGUAUAUAAUGCACUUCCACUUACAAAUGUAGUCAGUUGUCAUUUUCCUCAAAUAUAUAAAACUUUUUCUCUCUCUCUAAACUCUCGUGUUCUUCCUUUUACUCAUCCUUUCUUCUUGAUUUUCCCUUCAAUUCUCAAACACUACAAUGUAGUUAACACUAAUUACACGGAAUUUAAACUUGA